rnacentral:rRNA from 1 species
AAGUCGAACGCGAAAGGGGAGCUUGCUCCCUGAGUAAAGUGGCGAACGGGUGAGUAACGCGUGGGAAAUCUGCCUUGGAGCGUGGAAUAACACCCCCAACGGGGUGCUAAUACCGCAUGAGGUCGUUGGGCGACAUCGUCUGACGAUUAAAGAUGGGGACCGCAAGGCCUGUCACUCCAGGAUGAUCCCGCGUCCGAUUAGCUUGUUGGUAGGGUAACGGCCUACCAAGGCGACGAUCGGUAGCUGGUCUGAGAGGAUGGUCAGCCACACUGGGACUGAGAUACGGCCCAGACUCCUACGGGAGGCAGCAGUCGAGAGGCUUCGGCAAUGGGCGAAAGCCUGACCGAGCGACGCCGCGUGAGCGAAGAAGCCCUUCGGGGUGUAAAGCUCUUUUGUGAGGGGAGAAACGCAAUGACCUGAUACGUCAUUGUCUGACGGUACCUCACGAAUAAGCUCCGGCUAACUCCGUGCCAGCAGCCGCGGUAAUACGGGGGGAGCAAACGUUGUUCGGAAUCACUGGGCGUAAAGGGCGCGUAGGCGGUCCUGUAAGUGGUGUGUGAAAUCCGAUGGCUCAACCAUCGAACUGCGCUCCAUACUGCAGGACUUGAGUACAGCAGAGGAAAGUGGAAUUCCCGGUGUAGCGGUGAGAUGCGUAGAUAUCGGGAGGAACACCGUUGGCGAAGGCGACUUUCUGGGCUGCUACUGACGCUGAGGCGCGAAAGCCAGGGGAGCGAACAGGAUUAGAUACCCUGGUAGUCCUGGCCGUAAACGGUGGACACUAGGUGUUGGAGGCAUCGACCCCUCCAGUGCCGCAGCUAACGCAUUAAGUGUCCCGCCUGGGGAGUACGACCGCAAGGUUGAAACUCAAAUGAAUUGACGG